rnacentral:rRNA from 1 species
UUAGUUGCCAUCAUUCAGUUGGGCACUCUAGCGAGACUGCCGGUAAUAACCGGAGGAAGGUGGGGAUGACGUCAAAUCAUCAUGCCCUUAUGACCUGGGCUACACACGUGCUACAAUGGUUGGUACAACGAGUUGCGAGUCGGUGACGGCGAGCUAAUCUCUUAAAGCCAAUCUCAGUUCGGAUUGUAGGCUGCAACUCGCCUACAUGAAGUCGGAAUCGCUAGUAAUCGCGGAUCAGCACGCCGCGGUGAAUACGUUCCCGGGCCUU